CGUGGCCUUGUGGUUAAGACAUUGGCCUAAGAACCUGAUGGUCGUAGGUUCAAGU
rnacentral:tRNA from 1 species